ACAGUUCACAACCACAUGAAAAGAUGUGUAAGAGCAUUAGUCAUUAGGGAAAUGUGAAUGCAAACCACAGUGAGAUCACAUUGUAUAUCUGUUAAAUGGCUCAAAUUGAAAGACCAGCCAUUCUGACUGUUGGCAAGGAAGUGAAGCCACUGGAAAUGUCCUACACUGCUGGUGGGAAUGUACAGAGGGGCAUUCAUUUGCGCCAUUCCUUAAAAAGUUAAACACGUAUCUACUACAGGCAUACACACACGUACCUCAUAUCACAGUGUGGACCAGCCGCAAGUGGGAACCUGUGAAAAGGAAAAGUCUCAGGCCCCACUCCAAGCUGUUGAAGUUUGAGAACCACUGCCCUGGGGCAAGGACACGGACUUUGAGGACCUGUCUUGUCUGCUACCUUUCCUUUUCAGGGCAAUCCUGUGAGAAGAAGGAAUUUUAUUCCCACCCAACAAAGGAAGAAACAAAGGCUCAGAGGGAUCACCUCACUCACUCCAGUUCCCUCCACCAGGCAGGUCUAGAGUCUGGACAAUGCUCAGACACUAUGAUAAAGUCUCCAGCCCCUGUUUUCCCUUCACUUCCUCAGCCUCCUGACCAACCUUGGUGCCUCCCGACAUGGCCCCGCUCAGAAUUCUGUGCCUCCUCUUUCUAGAGGUCUCCACCAGGUCUGUGACACUUCAUUAUGGCAGCCCGAGAAGACUACUCCCACUCCCAAUGUGAAGUCGCUGAAUUUGAGUCCAGAAGAAAUGCACAGCAGCAGUAUGUCUUUCCCACUGUAGGACACAAUAGCAUGAAUAACCUCAAGAGCAUAGAUCAUAGUAAUAUGUGGUAAAAUUAGAGAGGGAUGAGCUUCCUUCUUUUUAAAUAUAAUUUAUUGUGAGUUUA